ACAGACGCGAACGGACAGAGCCUCCCCUGUCCGCCCAAGGCUCAACAAUAAGUACAAAUAAAGUACAAAAUUUGCACAUGCGGAAGCAUAUAUAAUGGCUUGCACGAGGGCAAGCAAUAGCCAAAGUGGAAGUACUAACUAAUCAACAUACAAGUAUUAUGAUUAAAUUUAAAUCACAUACAUGCAUACAACUUGUACAUUUGCAUUCUUUUCUUUAUCAUCAUUUCUUCUCUUUUACAUCACAUGAUAUCUCAAAAUAUAACCUUCGCAUUGAAAUAUAAAUCCUUUUACAUCAUUCAUUUAAACAUCUUUGAUAUUACUAAAAUCAUCAAGUACAAAAGAUGGCAAAUAAAGGUAUGCAACUAUCAAAAUAAAACUG
rnacentral:lncRNA from 1 species